rnacentral:tRNA from 1 species
AGGGAUGUGGUGUAGAAUGGUAGUGCCUUUGUUUUGGGUACAAAAUGUCACAGGUUCAAAUCCUGUCAUCCCUA